rnacentral:rRNA from 1 species
UACGUAGGGGGCAAGCGUUGUCCGGAUUUAUUGGGCGUAAAGAGCGUGUAGGCGGCUUCACAGGUCCGCUGUGAAAACUCGAGGCUCAACCUCGAGACGUCGGUUGAAACCAUCUGGCUAGAGUCCGGAAGAGGAGUGUGGAAUUCCCGGUGUAGCGGUGAAAUGCGCAGAUAUCGGGAAGAACACCCGUGGCGAAGGCGGCACUCUGGGACGGUACUGACGCUGAGACGCGAAAGCGUGGGGAGCGAACAGG